rnacentral:tRNA from 2 species
GCACUCGUAGCUCAAUGGAUAGAGCAUCUGACUACGGAUCAGAAGGUUGAAUGUUCGAGUCAUUCCGAGUGCGC